UAUCUCCUCAAAAAUCUCUUUGGCCUCGUUAACCAUGCAUUCCUUGCAUAAACCACAUAUGAGAAUAGGGUAUUGCAGAGUCAGGAACCCAGCAUCGCAAAGACCCUUAAUCGUGUUAUAACAAUGCAGCCACAAUGAAGCUAGGGUUUCAAGGGGCGUUUCUAUAACUUCUACAUCUUUGAGAAUACUGGAGAGACUGCUUCUUCAUCUCUGGGAUUUCAUCUGGAUUGGAGGCCAUUUCCUAGAGGCAUGAAGAGAGAGCCAACGUUGAGCCUCAAUGAAAUCAGGAUGAGAGAGGGGUUGAUCCCUUACCGUCGGAUGAUGGUGGUUCGGUGUUAGGUGUAAUAAGCCCGGUUGAGAUACAAGCUAUCUCACGGAUCCAGAUGAUGC